UACGAAGGGGCUAGCGUUGCUCGGAAUGACUGGGCGUAAAGGGCGCGUAGGCGGCUGUGACAGUCAGGCGUGAAAUUCCUGGGCUCAACCUGGGGCUGCGCUUGAUACGUUAUGGCUUGAGUGGGGAAGAGGGUCGUGGAAUUCCAGUGUAGAGGUGAAAUUCGUAGAUAUUGGGAAGAACACCGGUGGCGAAGGCGGCGACCUGGUCCGAUACUGACGCUGAGGCGCGAAAGCGUGGGGAGCAAACAGG
rnacentral:rRNA from 1 species